ACGCCUUUUUCCCGCGUUACUCGGAAUUACUGGGCGUAAAGCGUGCGUAGGCGGUUCGUUAAGUCUGUCGUGAAAGCCCUGGGCUCAACCUGGGAAUUGCGAUGGAUACUGGCGGGCUAGAGUACAGUAGAGGAUGGUGGAAUUCCCGGUGUAGCGGUGAAAUGCGUAGAGAUCGGGAGGAACACCCGUGGCGAAGGCGGCCAUCUGGACCAGUACUGACGCUGAGGCACGAAAGCGUGGGGAGCAAACAG
rnacentral:rRNA from 1 species